GUACACGCUGUGACUAGCAUAUCAAUAAGCGGAGGAAAAGAAACUAACAAGGAUUCCCUUAGUAACGGCGAGUGAAGCGGGAAGAGCUCAAAUUUGAAAUCUUCAAGGUUUUACCUUGACGAAUUGUAGUUUAAAGAAGUGUUUUCUGCUGAAGUUUUGGUAAAAGUUCUUUGGAAUAGGACAUCAUAGAGGGUGAGAAUCCCGUAUUUGACCAUUAUUUUCAGCUUUGUGAUACACUUUCAAAGAGUCGGAUUGUUUGGGAAUGCAGUCCAAAAUGGGUGGUAAAUUUCAUCUAAAGCUAAAUAUUGGCGAGAGACCGAUAGCGAACAAGUACCGUGAGGGAAAGAUGAAAAGAACUUUGAAAAGAGAGUUAAACAGUACGUGAAAUUGUCAAAAGGGAAGCGUUUGACACCAGUGUUGUUUUCUCGAAAAUCAAUUAAAAAUGGCUCGAUUUUGUAUUGUUUGAGACCUUAAAAGCUCACUGUACAUUUUUCGUGUCUUCUUUAAUGCACUUUUCGUUUAACAAGUCAACAUCAGUUUCUUUUGUUGUAAAAGGGUCAUUGGAAGGUGGCUUCCUUUUCGGAGAAAGUGUUUAUAGCCUUUGGCCUCUGCAAUCGGAGAGACUGAGGUCUGCAGCGUAGACUCUUCGGGGUUAGAUACAUUUGUGCUAAGUUAUAGCUUUUUAUAGACAACUUGUUGACUAUAAUUAGUCUUGUAGCUUACUCGCUUAUGCUAUUUUACCUACGCUUAGGAUGUUGAUCUACAGAGCGAGAGU
rnacentral:rRNA from 1 species